rnacentral:snRNA from 1 species
GUGCUCACUUCAGCAGCACAUAUACUAAAACUGGAAUGAUACAGAGAAGAUUAGCAUGGCCCCUGUGCAAGGAUGACACACAAAUUCAUGAUCGUUCCAUAUUUUUU